rnacentral:rRNA from 1 species
GUACACUCCUGCGGGAGGCAGCAGUGGGGAAUUUUGGACAAUGGGCGAAAGCCUGAUCCAGCAAUGCCGCGUGAGUGAAGAAGGCCUUCGGGUUGUAAAGCUCUUUUGUCAGGGAAGAAACGGUGAGAGCUAAUAUCUUUUGCUAAUGACGGUACCUGAAGACUAAGCACCGGCUAACUACGUGCCAGCAGCCGCGGUAAUACGUAGGGUGCAAGCGUUAAUCGGAAUUACUGGGCGUAAAGCGUGCGCAGGCGGUUUUGUAAGUCUGAUGUGAAAUCCCCGGGCUCAACCUGGGAAUUGCAUUGGAGACUGCAAGGCUAGAAUCUGGCAGAGGGGGGUAGAAUUCCACGUGUAGCAGUGAAAUGCGUAGAUAUGUGGAGGAACACCGAUGGCGAAGGCAGCCCCCUGGGUCAAGAUUGACGCUCAUGCACGAAAGCGUGGGGAGCAAACAGGAUUAGAUACCCGAGUAGUCCCAUG